GACGAACGCUGGCGGCGUGCCUAACACAUGCAAGUCGAACGGGGUGAUUCCUUCGGGGAUCGCUUAGUGGCGAACGGGUGAGUAACGCGUGAGAAACCUGCCUUUCAGUGGGGGACAACAGUUGGAAACGACUGCUAAUACCGCAUAAUGUUUCGAGAGGGCAUCCUUUUGAAACCAAAGCUUUAUGUGCUGAAAGAUGGUCUCGCGUCUGAUUAGCUAGUUGGUGAGGUAACGGCUCACCAAGGCGACGAUCAGUAGCCGGUCUGCGAGGAUGAACGGCCACAUUGGGACUGAGAUACGGCCCAGACUCCUACGGGAGGCAGCAGUGGGGAAUAUUGGGCAAUGGGGGAAACCCUGACCCAGCAACGCCGCGUGAAGGAAGAAGGCCUUCGGGUUGUAAACUUCUUUUACCAGGGACGAAGAACGUGACGGUACCUGGAGAAAAAGCAACGGCUAACUACGUGCCAGCAGUCGCCGUAAGAC
rnacentral:rRNA from 1 species